rnacentral:piRNA from 1 species
GGUGAAGGAGGUAGUUCUGGAAAAAC